rnacentral:rRNA from 1 species
UCGAGGGGUAACAUUGGUGCUUGCAUCAGAUGACGACCGGCGAACGGGUGCGUAACGCGUAUAGAAUCUGCCUUGUACAGGAGGAUAGCCUUUAGAAAUGAAGAUUAAUACUCCAUAAUAUUGGGAAGUGGCAUCACUAUCUAAUUAAACAUUUAUGGGUACAAGAUGACUAUGCGUCCUAUUAGCUAGAUGGUAAGGUAACGGCUUACCAUGGCAACGAUAGGUAGGGGGUCUGAGAGGAUUAUCCCCCACACUGGUACUGAGACACGGACCAGACUCCUACGGGAGGCAGCAGUGAGGAAUAUUGGUCAAUGGAGGCAACUCUGAACCAGCCAUGCCGCGUGCAGGAAGACUGCCCUAUGGGUUGUAAACUGCUUUUAUACAGGAAGAAACAGUCGUACGAGUACGGCCUUGACGGUACUGUAAGAAUAAGCACCGGCUAACUCCGUGCCAGCAGCCGCGGUAAUACGGAGGGUGCAAGCGUUAUCCGGAAUCAUUGGGUUUAAAGGGUCCGCAGGCGGUCAAUUAAGUCAGAGGUGAAAUCCCAUAGCUUAACUAUGGAACUGCCUUUGAUACUGGUUGACUUGAGUUAUACGGAAGUAGAUAGAAUAAGUAGUGUAGCGGUGAAAUGCAUAGAUAUUACUUAGAAUACCGAUUGCGAAGGCAGUCUACUACGUAUAUACUGACGCUCAUGGACGAAAGCGUGGGGAGCGAACAGGAUUAGAUACCCUGGUAGUCCACGCCGUAACGAUGGACACUAGUUGUUGGGAUUUAUCUCAGUGACUAAGCGAAAGUGAUAA